GGCCGUGAAACGUCACCACACAAAAGAUACUGGAUGCUUAUUCUAUCCUGAUCAUCCAAAUCCCCUUCCAAAUAGAGAUCGCCCAUCCUGGUGAGUAAAGGACCCUGACCACUUUGUUAUGGUCCUCAAAUGUCCCUCUCCCUGCGAGAAUCUGGUCCAGUUCAUGAGGCAGGCGGCUCAUGCACCCAACGUGUGCUGCAUUCGCAGAGAACUCCACCGUGACAUAAAACUGGACAAUCUAUCUAUUAACAACGAGACAUCUGAAGUCAAGCUGAUUGACUUGAGGAGUUCGCAGUACAUGUCAUUCUCUGGCAUGUAUUGUCACUUAAAGCUGCAGUUCGGCACUUUAACUCCUGUGAUGAGUUAGGCGGUAAAGCAAACGUAUCAGACAAAAUAUAUUUCCUCCAGGCACAGCAGCGUACUGUCCUCCACAGUACCAUGUCAGGGGAAAGUACUUCGGCAGGCAGGCGACGGCAUGGUCACUAUGGGUUCUGAUGUUCGUGAUGUUGAGUGGAUAUUCCCCUAAUGACUAUGACAUGCUGCUGCUGAAAUGGGAGCUCUGGUCCAAACCCAACCUGUCAAUAGGUGAGAUGAGAUCUAGAAUUAAUAAUUCAUAAUCAUACAAAACAUCUUAACAUAAUCCAGUAGAGUUUAAAAAGUAAAGUUUAAGGUAAUAAUCAGACUCUCUCCGUCACCUCCUGGCUCUCUUAAAGGACAAGCCAACGUUCGUCGCGACGUUCUUUCACGUCCCUCGGCCGUCCUGCUCACCACAGUAGUGAACCUAAGAUCAGCUAAAAAAUCAUUUUAUUUUCUCAUAGGAAGAAUUUGUUAAAUCAAAUCUGUCUUUUUUCUGUUAUGUUUCAGGUCAUCACAUAAGGCCUCUCCAGUUGGUGUCUCUCGUGCAGAUCCAUCCCUCCUCAAGGCUUUGCAUCUUACCGGUUGAGCAAGGCCUGUGUAGCAUCUUGCGCCUGUUAUAGAAAAUUUCAAUGUUUUUAAUAUUCUUUUCUUUGUACUUUUAUUUUCCUUUUCGUUCCACAUUAUGAGGUUUGUUCCUUUUUCAAUUAAAACGUGUUUCUCCCCUUUUACUCUGUAUUUACAUAGCAGGAACUCUCUCACACACACAGCCAAAGAUAUGCUAAAGGCUUUUGUUUAUAGACAAGGGAACCACCGCAUUAUAAAGCCUUUUGAUCUCAUCAACUUUUGAUCUCACAGGAGUAAGGGCAGUAAAAACACCAUGGGGCGAGGGGCAGGUCAUUGACUUUUGCUCUCACAGGAGUAAGGGCAGUAAAACACCAUGGGGCGGGGGGAAAGGUGUAUAAAAGCUGUCUGUACUAUAUGUCAUUUAGGUCUGUGUUCCUAUCGCGAGGUAGCUGUCGCGGUAUUUUUGUGAACAAGCCUCCUUCAAAAGAAUAAACAUCUUUUGAAGUA